rnacentral:rRNA from 1 species
GGCGGAGGAUGCAAGUGUUAUCCGGAAUCACUGGGCGUAAAGCGUCUGUAGGUGGUCAAAUAAGUCAACUGUUAAAUCUUGAGGCUCAACCUCAAAAUCGCAGUCGAAACUAUUAGACUAGAGUAUAGUAGGGGUAAAGGGAAUUUCCAGUGGAGCGGUGAAAUGCGUAGAGAUUGGAAAGAACACCGAUGGCGAAGGCACUUUACUGGGCUAUUACUAACACUCAGAGACGAAAGCUAGGGUAGCAAAUGGG